rnacentral:tRNA from 1 species
UCCCCAGUAGCUCAGUUGGCAGAGCAGGUGGCUGUUAACCACCGGGUCCGCGGUUCGAGUCCGUGCUGGGGAG